GGGGAUUUGGUUCAGUGGUAGAGCGUUUGCCUAGCAAGCACAAGGUCCUGGGUUUGGUCCCCAGCUCCG
rnacentral:tRNA from 1 species